rnacentral:snRNA from 1 species
GGAUGUGAGGGCGAUCUGACUGAGAACCUUCACCCCACUGCUCGCCAUGGUUGAUUUGACUGAUCUGGCUGGCUAGGCAGGUGUCCCCUCCCCCCUUCACACUCCAUGUGUGUCCCUAGGUGGAAGAGAAUAGCCUUCCCUGUCUUUGGUGUGGGGGAGGGGGGUGUACGAGUAGCUGUGCUCCCCUGCCAGAGCCCCCAGACAAGCUCCCCUCUAGUCUGCUGUUGGGCUCUUCCUGAUAUGUUAGGGUUUUCUCUUUGGCCUUCAGCUUUAGUGGUGGGUGACUUUUACU